rnacentral:tRNA from 1 species
UUGACCUUAGCUCAGUUAGAAGAGCAGAGGACUGGUCCUCUAGGUUGCUGGUUCGAUUCCAGCAGGUCGAG